GGGCCGGUAGUCUAGCUCGGUUAGGACACAGCCUUUACGAGGCUGAGGUCGAGAGUUCAAGUCUCUCCCGGCCCACCA
rnacentral:tRNA from 1 species